CUUUCUUUCUUUCUUUCUUUCUUUCUUUCUUUCUUUCUUUCUUUCUCCUUCUUCUCCUUCUUCUCUUUCUUCUUUUUCUCCUGAAGGGCAAGAAGCAACUCUCAACUUUUCAGUUCCAUUUUGAGACUCCGGAGCCAGGCGAGAGCAGAGGCGUCUCGGGCAGGCUGGGUGUGGGGCGCGCUUCGGAGCAGGCGCGCCGCGGCGAGGGGGAGGCAGGUGGCAGCGGGGGCGCGCCUCCCUCCGGCCGGCUCCGCGCACGCGACUCGCCGCUCCGCGCCGCGCCGCGGGCCCCGCGCCUCCCAGCGCGCUCGCGCCCUCCCCGCCCUCGCCCCGCCCGGGCAGGGCCCUCCCCCCUCCCCCCUGCCGGCCCCGCGGCCGCCGCCGCCGCCGCUGCUACCGGAGGCGCAGGAGCCUCGCGAUAGUGUUUGCAUUGGCGGCGCGUGACGCCGCCGCCGCCGCCGCCCGUAACUGAUGCAGAGGUUACCCCGCCGCCUCAGCCGCCACCCACCGCCCGCCACCGCCCGGGCGACGCCGGGGCCCGACGCACUGCAGAGGUGCCGGCAGGUUCCGCCCGCGGAAGUGGCCUCGGUCGGCGCGGCCCGCGCUCCGCCCGCGCUCCGGCCCCGGCCCCGCGGCCCCGGCCACUCGCCUCCCCUCGGCGCUACCCUCCCCGCCCGCCCUCCGCCCGGCGCGCUCCCUCGGCGGCGCGGCGCUCCCCUCCCAGCCCUCGCGCCCGCGCUCGCCCUCAGCGCGGCCCCCGCCAUGACGGAGGCGGGUGCCGGUGCCGCCGCCGUCGCAGGGGGGGAGUCGGGCUCCCAGAAAGUAGCUUGAUGAGUGUCCAAAGUAGCAGUGGAAGUUUGGAGGGGCCGCCAUCUUGGUCCCGGCUCUCCACGUCUCCAACCCCGGGCUCGGCGGCGGCGGCCAGGUCCCUGCUGAAUCACACGCCGCCAUCCGGGAGGCCCAGGGAAGGUGCAAUGGAUGAGCUUCACAGUCUGGACCCAAGAAGGCAAGAAUUAUUGGAAGCAAGAUUUACUGGAGUUGCUACUGGGAGUACUGGGAGUACUGGGAGUUGCAGUGUUGGAGCAAAAGCUUCAACAAAUAAUGAAAGUUCUAAUCACAGUUUUGGAAGCUUAGGAUCUCUAAGUGACAAAGAAUCAGAGACACCAGAGAAGAAACAAUCAGAGUCAUCCAGGGGAAGAAAGAGAAAAGCAGAAAGUCAGAAUGAAAGUAGUCAGGGAAAAAGUAUCGGGGGACGUGGCCAUAAGAUCAGCGACUAUUUUGAAUACCAAGGUGGAAAUGGCUCGAGUCCAGUAAGAGGCAUCCCUCCAGCAAUCCGUUCUCCGCAGAACUCACACUCACAUUCCACUCCUUCCUCAUCUGUUCGACCGAAUAGCCCUUCUCCUACUGCAUUAGCUUUCGGGGACCACCCUGUUGUACAACCAAAGCAGUUAUCCUUUAAGAUCACUCAAACUGAUCUUACAAUGCUGAAAUUGGCAGCAUUAGAAAGUACUAAAAAUCAAGACCUGGAGAAGAAGGAAGGCCGGAUUGAUGAUCUGCUCAGGGCCAACUGUGAUCUCAGGCGGCAAAUAGAUGAUCAACAGAAAUUACUUGAAAAAUACAAAGAACGAUUAAAUAAGUGCAUAUCUAUGAGCAAGAAACUACUUAUUGAAAAGAGUACACAAGAAAAAUUGUCUAGCAGAGAAAAGAGUAUGCAAGAUCGGUUGCGCCUUGGGCACUUUACCACAGUUAGACACGGCGCUUCCUUUACAGAACAGUGGACAGAUGGUUUUGCAUUUCAGAAUCUUGUGAAGCAACAAGAAUGGGUGAAUCAACAAAGGGAAGACAUUGAACGGCAAAGAAAACUUCUAGGCAAACGCAAACCUCCCACAGCUAAUAAUUCUCAGGCACCUGCUACCAAUUCUGAAGCCAAGCAAAGAAAGACCAAGGCAGUCAAUGGAGCGGAAAACGAUCCCUUUGUUAGGCCAAAUUUACCACAACUGCUGACUCUGGCAGAGUAUCAUGAACAAGAGGAAAUUUUUAAACUUAGACUAGGACAUCUCAAAAAGAGAUAACAGUGUAGCACCAGCUCUGCCACUGACAUCCUGUUCUCUGACCGAUCUUGGCACCUGCAAAGAGAAACAAGCAGUGACAGGCAGCGGCAGCGUCAGUACUAACCUCCAUGGUGGCCUUUACAGGCUGAGAGCAAGCUCACAGUCUUUUCUCACUCCUCACAGUGGAAAAUGCAGCCAGUUGAAACGGACAAGACUGGAUUGCCUACAAGCCUUUUGAACAGUGGAGAAUGCAGGGCAUUGGUUUUAGGAAGAGGCUGAAAUCCAGGCGGAACUGGAGCGUUUGGAGAGGGUCCGGAACCUUCACAUCCGAGAGCUGAAGAGAAUAAACAAUGAGGAUAAUUCACAGUUCAAAGAUCAUCCAACGUUAAAUGAAAGAUAUUUAUUACUUCAUCUGCUUGGGAGAGGCGGCUUUAGUGAGGUCUAUAAGGCAUUCGACUUGUAUGAGCAAAGAUACGCUGCUGUGAAGAUCCACCAGCUUAAUAAGAGCUGGAGAGACGAGAAGAAAGAAAACUACCACAAACACGCUUGCCGAGAGUAUCGAAUACACAAGGAACUGGACCACCCCAGAAUAGUUAAACUCUAUGAUUACUUCUCCUUGGAUACAGAUACGUUUUGUACAGUGCUAGAGUACUGUGAAGGCAAUGACUUGGACUUCUACCUGAAGCAGCACAAGUUGAUGUCUGAGAAAGAAGCUCGGUCUAUUGUGAUGCAGAUUGUGAAUGCCUUACGCUAUCUCAAUGAAAUCAAACCUCCUAUUAUACAUUAUGACCUUAAGCCAGGAAAUAUCCUUCUGGUAGAUGGAACAGCAUGUGGAGAAAUCAAAAUCACUGAUUUUGGUCUGUCCAAGAUUAUGGAUGACGAUAGUUACGGUGUUGAUGGGAUGGAUCUGACUUCCCAGGGGGCAGGCACUUACUGGUAUUUACCUCCUGAGUGCUUUGUAGUUGGAAAAGAGCCACCGAAGAUCUCCAACAAGGUUGACGUGUGGUCAGUUGGGGUCAUCUUCUUCCAGUGCCUCUAUGGUAGAAAACCAUUUGGUCACAAUCAAUCUCAACAAGACAUUCUACAGGAAAACACAAUACUGAAAGCCACAGAAGUCCAGUUCCCUGUAAAACCUGUUGUAAGCAGUGAAGCCAAGGCCUUCAUAAGACGCUGUUUGGCUUACCGAAAAGAAGAUCGAUUUGAUGUGCACCAGCUGGCAAAUGACCCAUACCUUCUGCCACACAUGAGAAGAUCAAAUUCUUCAGGAAACUUACAUAUGUCUGGGCUGACAGCAACUCCCACACCUCCUUCUUCAAGCAUAAUUACUUACUGACUCCUCUAAGAUUGGCAUGACCUCUUCUCUUUGAUUGGCUUCCAGAUGCACACUUGAAUUUGACUGCAUUGGACUGUUUGUGGUAUUUUUACAUGGACAUGGUUAAGAAGUGUUUGUGAACUAAGCUCUCCAAGGAGUCCUUGUGUGAGAGUGGAUCAUGGACAGUGACUAAGUACACACUCACUCCUCACUGCCCUGGAGCAGCACGAAACAGGAAUACCAUGUUACAGUAGAACAAGGGGACUCUGUAAAUAACGUUUAUAAUACUUAAAUAUAUUUGAUUGUUACCAGAGAGUUGUAAUAUGAAGGGUAGUUUUUCAUUAUUUAAGAACACAUGGAAAAAUGAGGAGACAUUUGUAACCCGGGAGCUACAGUGCCUGGUACAGCGUCAGCACUCGGCAGCUGAUCUACAGAAACCAAAGCAAGAACUGAGUGACAGCAGCCGCUGUGUUUAUAACAGAAUGUGAGAGUUAGGGUCUUUGGACAGUUGGAGACUUUGUCAUUUGCCUAUUCUGACUUUUACCAAGUUGUACCUCGAGAUCACGUGUCAGUGGUCCGCCGCCCUACCCCCGACCCCUUAACCGGUUAUGUUAAAGGCAAGCUGUCGUUUCUGGACACUUUACACCUUUAACACAAAGAGCUGCCUAUUUCAAAUCAGUUGAAGUUACUAAAUGAUAGUAUUUCCAGGGCUUUCAGUGGGUUAGAUUAACAGGCGUUUUUCUUUUGUUUUCAGGCCUGGUUCAUUAAAACAGAAGACAGUGUGUAACCAAAAGCAGGCCAGUUGUAUGCAGGAUAAUGAUGAAUUCCCUUCUGGCUCUAUUGUAAACUACUGUACAGAUGUCGGAUUACAAUUACUGAGUUUCAGCAGCUUAUUCUUGUACAAAUGUUUAAAAAUACGGCUUUUCUAAUUGGAUAUUGUAUUUUUUUUAAGUCUUCUUGAAGGCGCUUUAAUUGCUGCUAAAUGAUAUUGCUUUUUUGCUAUAAAAAAUUGAAUGACCUUGAAGGCACAAGUUGACUGUACAUCAUAGAGAGAUAUUAAAAGCAGGCACUCGUUAACAAUCAAGGCAUGUGCAGUGAUCCAUGCUGGGCAUAUUGAGUUCUUCAAAUCAGUUUUUUAGGUUCUGGAGCUGUGGAACACAUAGAAACUAGAUUUAUAAAUUGUUCAUGGUUAUUCUACAUUUCUAGAAAGUUCUUAGCAUCAAGGUGGGAUGAUAGUCCCAUAGAAUGUUUCUCGUGGUUUGUACAGAUUUGUUAAAAUGUGAACAUUUUCUAACUACCUUGUGUGGUAGAAACCAAUAUUUUUUUGGGGAUGCUGUAUUUCAUUCUUGAAAGGAUUUUUUUUUCUUUAUUGUCAAAUUCAUAAUGCCGAGACUUACAUGUAAGUUGUCCAUGGUGCAGACAACAGGCUAUCCCUGCCAGCCGCCCCUAACAUGUACAGUUACACUGUGGCUCUUACCUGGUGUUGCAAGCCAUUUCGUUUGUUUGUUUUCAUUGUACAUAGACACACUGUCUGUUUAAGAUGCUGCUGGAAUUAUAGAGAAUGUAGCCAAACAGUAAUAAACAAUGACAGUAAAAAUGUAAA